UACUAGAGUAGCACUCGCAUAUCAAUAAGCGGAGGAAAAGAAACUAACAAGGAUUCCCCUAGUAACGGCGAGUGAAGCGGGAAGAGCUCAAAUUUGAAAUCUUAAAGGGUUUCCCUUUACGAAUUGUAGUUUAAAGAAGUGUUUUCUGUUGAGGUUUUGGUAAAAGUUCUUUGGAAUAGGACAUCAUAGAGGGUGAGAAUCCCGUAUUUGACCUUUACUUUCAACUUUGUGAUACACUUUCAAAGAGUCGGAUUGUUUGGGGAUGCAGUCCAAAAUGGGUGGUAAAUUUCAUCUAAAGCUAAAUAUUGGCGAGAGACCGAUAGCGAACAAGUACCGUGAGGGAAAGAUGAAAAGAACUUUGAAAAGAGAGUUAAACAGUACGUGAAAUUGUCAAAAGGGAAGCGUUUGACACCAGUGUUGUUUUUCUGAAAAUCAAUUAAAGAACUGUUUAUGCUAAGCUGUUUAGACUUUAUCAGCUAUCUGUUUAGUUUUAGGCUUUUCUUUAAUGCACUCUUCAGUUAACAAGUCAACAUCAAUUUCUUUUGCUGUAAAAAAGCUUGAGGAAGGUGGCUUGAGAUUCGUCUUAAGUGUUUAUAGCCUCUUGCCUAUGCAGUCGGAGAGAUUGAGGUCUGCAGCGUAGAUCCUUCGGGGCUAAAUGCAUUUGUGCUAAGUUAUAGCAGUUUUAUAGACAACUUGUUGACUAUGAUUUGUCUUGUAGCUUACUCGCUUAUGUUAUUUUACCUACGCUUAGGAUGUUGAGCGCAUGUCUCUCUCU
rnacentral:rRNA from 1 species